AUCUAGCUGACGAGGCUCAAACAGAACGAAACGCGCGUUUUGGAU
rnacentral:hammerhead_ribozyme from 1 species